rnacentral:misc_RNA from 1 species
GCCUCCCUUCACGGCUAAUUAACUCACUCAAGUUUUUCCCUGUCAAACCCUAACCCUUAACCGCUCAAAGCACACGUGUCGCCGCUGUCACCACCACUACCGCCUACUCUNCGGUCCACACACCCCCCACCAUCCGACUCUCAUCCGCUGCGAUCCGCACCUGUUUUGAUCCUCUACAGCGGAAUUCAAAGCAAAAUCCUCUCAAUUUCUUCCACAUUCGCGCUCCUACUGUGGUUGCAGCGACUACUGGUUGCGGUCUGUAGCUUUG